AAGUCGUAACAAGGUUUCCGUAGGUGAACCUGCGGAAGGAUCAUUAACACAAUUUUACUGUGAUAAAUCCGUUGAAUUCUCGAAUUCAAUGGUAUCCACCCCAUUAUUGACGAACUUUUCUAGAUGUUAAAACAUAGAGCUAGUCUUUAUGUUUUUAACAUUCUAAACCUUUUUCUAUAUCCACACAAGUUUAAACCCCUUUUACAACAUGUAUUAGACUGAAAUGAAAAUUUUCUAUCAAAAAAUUGAUAAAACAACUUUUAACAACGGAUAUCUUGGCUCUC
rnacentral:misc_RNA from 1 species